CGGCCUGCGCGGAAGAUGUAACGGGGCUAAACCAUGCACCGAAGCUGCGGCAGCGACACUAUGUGUUGUUGGGUAGGGGAGCGUUCUGUAAGCCUGCGAAGGUGUGCUGUGAGGCAUGCUGGAGGUAUCAGAAGUGCGAAUGCUGACAUAAGUAACGAUAAAGCGGGUGAAAAGCCCGCUCGCCGGAAGACCAAGGGUUCCUGUCCAACGUUAAUCGGGG
rnacentral:rRNA from 1 species